CGGACAUGAAAUACGGGAAAAAUUAUGGGAAUGAACUCCUUGGUUAUUUCCAAUUCACUUCAGAAUUUUUCUAAUUAAGUGAAUGCAUAUUUACUUGUUUCUUUAUUUAUUUAUUUUACUUCGACUUCAAAGCACGAUUUCUUUGUUUAUUAUAUUGUGAUGCUUCCUGCCUGAUGCAGCUGGUCAAGCGUGCUCAACUCUGGGUAAACGAGCUGGUUCUUGGCAACAUGUAAGGCUUUGAAACAAAUUGUCCUUUCGGCAAAGGAAUAAAAAAAAUAUAUAUUCUAUUGGCUGUUUCAUUAAUGGGCAAUUCGAUUGUAUUAAAGACAUUUCCUGUUGCAAAUGCUACAAUUUCCUUCAGGAAAUGGGUUCUGAGUACCUGGACCCUUGAUGUUUGUUUCAAUGUUGGUAAGUGUUAUUGUUUUACUGGAUUAUUCAAUGGUAUUCGACAUGACAUCUUUAGUUCUAGGUUCUAGACUCAAACACUUUUUAUCCUAAUAAUUUUAUGCAGUCCUAAGACCCUCAUUUCAAGAAAAGGCAUCAUAAAAUGAAAUAUUGUGCAGAAGCCGUUUGUAGAUUUUAUCAUCAACAAUGUAUUGCCUGGAGGAAAGGUUUGUGCUCAAAACAUUCAUUAUUUUGAAAACGAGGCUGAGCUUGUUUGCUUGAUUUUAAUUAGUUCCUGGCUUUGAUUUUGCUUUCACAGUUCAAUUUUGGUUGGGUUUAGGAAUUUGUUCCUGAAUAUUCUGUGGUUUCUUUUCAUUUGAUUUAUCCUUAUAUAUAUCUCGUGAAGUGGAGAUUUUUUUUGGUUUGAUUUUAUUCAUAUAUCUUGUUUGAGGUAGACUUAGAUGGACAACUGUGAAGAAUUCACAUGCAAGCAGGCGGAUCAUCCAAAGCUUCCCAAGGGGAAGAUUAUUGUAAUGGUGAUUUUGGGUGGUUGGGGUGAGGCUAAACCUGAUCAAUAUAGCUGUAUCCAUGUUGCUGAGACUCCCACCAUAGAGUCCUUCAAAAAGGGAACUUGCUAGAGUCUUGGGUGAUGAAGGUGUAAUUGUUUUCUCAGAUGUGGAACAUGUUAUCAUGAAAGAUCCAGAAUAUGAGUCCUCGCAGCCUACCAGCAUACCCGAUGACAAACAGCUUAAUGAAACUAUAGCAUCCAGAUCCAGUGGAGGAUCAGGUUC